rnacentral:lncRNA from 1 species
GAGCGCCCGCGCACCCACAGCGCAGCCGGAGCGACACCGCAUCCAACACAACACCCCUCCAACCCCUCAGGAGAGCCGGGCGGGAACGGAGCGGGAGGGAACGGAGCGGGAACGGGAACGGGGCUCACCUGCGCUGAGAGCGCCCGCGCACCCACAGCGCAGCCGGAGCGACACCGCAUCCAACACAACACCCCUCCAGCCGAGACCCCGCAACCCACAAAACAGCCCUCCAACCAACACCCCCCCCCCCCCCCCCCCCCCCCCCCCCCCCCCCCCCCCCCCCCCCCCCCCCCCCCCCCCCCCCCCCCCCCCCCCCCCCCCCCCCCCCCCCCCCCCCCCCCCCCCCCCCCCCCCCCCCCCCCCGCCUGCGUCACCGCCGCUUCCGCCCCGCGCGCGCAGGCCAGGGGACCCCGGAGCGCCCGUCGGGAGAGCCGGGCGGGAACGGAGCGGGAACGGGAACGGGGCUCACCUGCGCUGAGAGCGCCCGCGCACCCACAGCGCAGCCGGAGCGACACCGCAUCCAACACAACACCCCUCCAGCCGAGACCCCGCAACCCACAAAACAGCCCUCCAACCAACACCCCACAUCCAACCAACACCCCUCCAACCAACACCCCACAUCCAACACAACACCCCUCCAACCAACACCCCACAUCCAACACAACACCCCUCCAACCAACACCCCACAUCCAACACAACACCCCUCCAACCAACACCCCACAUCCAACACAACACCCCUCCAACCAACACCCCACAUCCAACACAACACCCCUCCAACCAACACCCCACAUCCAACACAACACCCCUCCAACCAACACCCCACAUCCAACACAACACCCCUCCAACCAACACCCCACAUCCAACACAACACCCCUCCAACCAACACCCCACAUCCAACACAACACCCCUCCAACCAACACCCCACAUCCAACACAACACCCCUCCAACCAACACCCCACAAUCCAACACAACACCUCUCCAACACCAACACCCCUCCAACCAACACCCCACAUCCAACACAACACCCCUCCAACCAACACCCCACAUCCAACACAACACCCCUCCAACCAACACCCCACAAUCCAGAAAACACCCCUCCAACACCCCACAAUCCAGAAAACACCCCUCCAACCAACACAACACCCCACAAUCCACCUCCCAACACACACCCCACAUCCAACACAACACCCCCUCCAACCAACACCCCACAACCCACACAACGCCCAUCCAACUGAAACACCACAUCGAAUCAAAAGCGAUCCAACCAAUUCCCAAUUCCAUCCGUGCUUCUUCCAAUCAGUCCCAUCCAGUCAACAGCCCAUUCCGCCAACACCCAUGGAACCAAACCCCUAUUUAACACCUGACACCCGUUACACUUCACACCCCAUUCAGCCAACAUUUCAUCUAAUCUACACCCCACCCAACCAACCCCAACACACCAACACACACCCCACAUCCAACACAACACCCCCUCCAACCAACACCCCACAACCCACACAACGCCCAUCCAACUGA